rnacentral:rRNA from 1 species
UGGCUCAGGAUGAACGCUAGCGACAGGCCUAACACAUGCAAGUCGAGGGGCAGCACAAGGAGCAAUCUGAGGUGGCGACCGGCGCACGGGUGAGUAACACGUAUGCAACCUGCCUGUAAGCGGGGAAUAACCCGUUGAAAGACGGACUAAUACCGCAUAAUACUAAAUUACUGCAUGGUAAUUUAUUUAAACAUUUAUGGCUUACAGAUGGGCAUGCGCAUGAUUAGCUAGUUGGAGAGGUAACGGCUCCCCAAGGCAACGAUCAUUAGGGGUUCUGAGAGGAAGGUCCCCCACACUGGUACUGAGACACGGACCAGACUCCUACGGGAGGCAGCAGUGAGGAAUAUUGGUCAAUGGACGAGAGUCUGAACCAGCCAAGUCGCGUGCAGGAAGAAUGUCCUAUGGAUUGUAAACUGCUUUUGCAGGGGAAUAAAGUGCAUCACGUGUGAUGUUUUGUAUGUACUCUGCGAAUAAGGAUCGGCUAACUCCGUGCCAGCCGCGGC